UUAAAUUGUAAAAAAAAAAUAAGAGUAGUAAUAGAUAUGUUCUUAAAACUUAAAAAAUUUGGCGGUAUUUUAUUCUAUUUAGAGGAACUUGUUUUAUAAUUGAUAAUCCUCAAUUUAUCUUACUUAAAAUUUUAUAGUUUGUAUAUCGUUGUCAUAAGAAUAUCUUAAAAAAGAAAUAAUUUUCUAAAUUAAUAAAAUUUAUAAUUAUUAAUUAUGUCAGAUCAAGAUGCAGUUUAUAUUUAAGAAAAAAUGAGUUACAAUUAAUAUAUUAAAAUGAAUUAAAGAUUGAAAUAUUUUUAUGAAGGUGGAUUUAAUAGUAAGUUAUUUAAUUGAGAAUAGUUGAUAGUAGUUCUAAAAUAUGC
rnacentral:rRNA from 1 species